UUUUUUUUUUAACCUGGAUAUAUAUUUUUUCAUUUUCACUUUAUUUUUAGUGUUUAUUUUUAGAAAUUAUUUAUAUGUAUUUUUAUUUUAAUAGGUGUUUGAGAAACAGGUGGUGUUUGGUUCCAUGAAUAAGUUCUUCAGUGUUGAUUUCUGAAAUGUAGUACCCCUCAUUACUUAUUAAAUUAUAUAUUAAGUCAUUAUAAAAUAAUUAAUAAACCAAGGACUUUAGUAAAAUGGGAAUUUUAUUUUAACUUGCAACCUGGGACGUAAC
rnacentral:lncRNA from 10 species